rnacentral:lncRNA from 1 species
AUGAGUGAGUGAGGAGAGGAAUGAGUGAGUGAGGAGAGGAAUGAGUGAGUGAGGAGAGGAAUGAGUGAGUGAGGAGAGGAAUGAGUGAGUGAGGAGAGGAAUGAGUGAGUGAGGAGAGGAAUGAGUGAGUGAGGAGAGGAAUGAGUGAGUGAGGAGAGGAAUGAAAUGAGUGAGUGAGGAGAGGAAUGAGUGAGUGAGGAGAGGAAUGAGUGAGUGAGGAGAGGAAUGAGUGAGUGAGGAGAGGAAUGAGUGAGUGAGGAGAGGAAUGAGUGAGUGAGGAGAGGAAUGAGUGAGUGAGGAGAGGAAUGAGUGAGUGAGGAGAGGAAUGAGUGAGUGAGGAGAGGAAUGAGUGAGUGAGGAGAGGAAUGAGUGAGUGAGGAGAGGAAUGAGUGAGUGAGGAGAGGAAUGAGUGAGUGAGGAGAGGAAUGAGUGAGUGAGGAGAGGAAUGAGUGAGUGAGGAGAGGAAUGAGUGAGUGAGGAGAGGAAUGAGUGAGUGAGGAGAGGAAUGAGUGAGUGAGGAGAGGAAUGAGUGAGUGAGGAGAGGAAUGAGUGAGUGAGGAGAAGAAUGAGUGAGUGAGGAGAGGAAUGAGUGAGUGAGGAGAGGAAUGAGUGAGUGAGGAGAGGAAUGAGUGAGUGAGGAGAGGAAUGAGUGAGUGAGGAGAGGAAUGAGUGAGUGAG